ensembl:lncRNA
UGAGUGCAACUACUAUAAUCAAAUGCAAAAGGUCAAAUGUAAAUGUUGUGUUUAAAACAAUAUGAGGAUGUGAAAAUGCAUUUUUAGGUCUGUAUAAUGUGACAAUGUUAUAAACUCACUAAAGUGAAAGUGCAGCUCUGGAUCUCUGUCACCGUGAUCCCGGUGUUUGGUGUGUACGGUUGCCAUGGCAGCAGGUCCUGAUGAGGUCCCUGGAUACCGAGGAUGAGGCGCUUCUGACCUGCACAAACACACACAUUAUGAAUGCGUUGAGCUGAAUGAGGACAGACACUGAGUCUGCAAACGAAGGCCAGUAGACCCCCUGCAGACUCAAGACUGCUCAGAGAUGAUGGGAUCCUCCUUAUGGUCACAUGAGGACAGGAAUGAAGCUCAUGAACAACACUAAAAGGCAGAGGUUAAACCUGCUGACCGCA